UUAAAUUCAGGGGCAAUGACUGGCAGGAGGGAGGGGCUCCUGAAUGCAGGACUGCACACAGUGGUCCCAGGGAGAGGCUGCUCCAGCCUAGGGGAGCCACAGGGAGGGUCCUGGAUCUGACUGUGCCCCUCCCCAGGUGCCCCCGGCUCUGGGUUCAGGUUGAGCCCCCACCCCCCACAGUCUCCUGCUGGGGAAGGUGUCAGAGGAACAGCAGCACCUGGAGCCUCUCCAGCCACGGCUCCCUGCCUGGGCGAGGCUGAGGAAAACGCAUGCCAUCAGGAGCCGCAGCGGGUGGCCCUGCAGGGCCAGGUCACACCACAAACCCCCCGUGCGUGAAAGGAGAAAUGGGAAGAAGGCGGCAGAGCCGGACUUGGAGUGCAGAGGAGGUCGAUUGGCGGGGCAGCCCAGCAGACCCAUGGGGACACUGUCCACUCACAGCCCAUCUGUCGCUCUGUCCCUUGGGGCCCAAGGGAAGUCAGCUGAGAGGAUGUGGCAGCGUCGCCAGCUCUGAGCAGCUCCUUCCCGGGGCCCCAGAGAGCCUGGCCCACAGGAAGGACCCGUGCCUUGGGUCUCCUAGGACGUGCAGCAGGAGCCCGGGCACCCAGGACACAGCCUGGCCGGGGAGCCUCACAGGACGGUCAGUCAACAAGCAACUCAUGGAGCAAAAUGAGCCACCCCUCUGUCUGUGCUUGCGUGUCUGUGUGUUUGUGUGUGUUUGCGUGUCUCUGUGUGUCUGUGUGUACUUGUGCGCAUAUAUAUGAGUGUGUGUGCUUGCUUUGUGUGAGGAGUGCUUGUGCACUUAAGUUUGCCUAUAUGCGCAUGUGUGCUUGCUCUGCAGGUGCACACAUAAACAUGUGUGUGCAAGUGUGUUUGUGUGGGUUUGAGUUCAGUGCACAUGUGUGCUCUCCUUCUUGACCCUCAUUCCUGGCCAGAGCCACUCUGUACCUGGACAACUGGACUCUGGAGAGACGAGGUGGGUUGGUCAAGUUGGAAACAUCUGGGAAAGGGUGGAUCCCUCGUGUUGGACGGGACAGAUGACCAUUAGCACUGUGUACUCGAACUUUGUAUCAAAGUAGGAUCCCAGAAAGGGAGUGUGGUGGAGACUUCCAUCCCCAGGAUACCCACCAGCAGACGCACCAGGCAACUAGCCAGACGCCCCUCCUCUCGCCGCCACCAGCACCCCAGCUGACCACUCCAGAUGCCAGGAACUGCGCGGCCCCUCCUCUCCAGGGCCUGUCUUCUGCGGAGCCCCAGCUCACCCAGGUUAGCUGAUGCCAUGACCUGCCUUAUUUAAACUGGGUUGGAAACAGCGUCAGCUGCAACUUGUGGCUGAUUUAAUCAAGUUUCUAGAAUUCAGCCUUGCCAGGAAGCCAGCUGCCCGCAGGUGAAAGCAAGUGUCCUCUGCCCCUGAAUGCAGGUGUCCCUUCCAGCCUGCGUGGCAGUGCUCCCCUCUGACCUGUGCCUGGCCAAGAAGAGCCUGCCGAGAAAAUCCCCUGGCACCAGCACGCACCCCAGCCUGAGCUCCCGGGUCUCCUGGGGGAGCCACCUCAAGGCAGUCUGACGUGCUGAAAUCUAAACCGAGCACAGUUCAGUCACCAAGGAACGCCUUGCUUUACUCAGUGGUUCCCAAGGAGAUUCUGGGAAAUCUGGAAUGACCUGACUGGCAGAUGCUCUUACAUGCCAAGGGACACUUUGGUUUGGGGUCUGGCAGCGUGCCAGCAGGGAGCUGAAGUGUUCCUGCCCUCCAGGCACUUGGCAGAAACUUAGUGAGCAGACAUGCAGACACAUGCUCAUGUGGUGCCCAGGGACCCAGCAAGGGGUCAGCAUGCCAACGACAGAGGCUGGGCAUCAGCCCUGAACCUUGCUGUGAGGGGAAUCCUGAGGCUCGAGGGGCCCUGGCAGCCCCUGUUGCACUUGGGAUCCAGCAAAAGGGCGAGGGUGGCGUGUGCUCUUCCAAUACUUCACCCUGGUGGUCAGGAGUGGGGCCCUGGGCACUCGCCACAGCCUGGCAGCGCAACAUGGCAAAGUGGACCAGUGUCCUGGGGCUGCAUGGGACACCCAUAAACCAGUGACUCACGGGCUCUUCUUGAAGUUCUAAGGGUCAGAAGCCCCAAAUCAAGGGUGGCAGUGCCACACUCCCUCACAAGCUCUCGGGGGACCCCUCCCUCGUCCUGCAGCUCCCGGUGGGCUCCCUGGCUUGUGGCUCUGCCCCUCUGCCCUCUGCCAGCCUUCCUGUGGUCUCCUCUGCUCUCCCUGUGUUUUCUCCUGUCGCUGGAAUCUGGGCCUACCCAGAUGAUCCGGAGCGACCACGUCUCUAGAGCCUUACUGGAUCACACCAGCAAGGACCCUUCGGAUAAGGGCAUCUCCAGGUUCUGGGAAUGGACGCAGCUUUUGGGGGGACACCACCCCACACACCACUCCCUCAACCACGUGGCCCCUCAGGGUCCAUGUCCAUGGGAUGGUCAACACAACUCAGAGGUGCCAUGCAGAUUGGUGACCAGCCGCAGGGCUCUAGGGCAGCACAGUGAGAGUCACGGAGGCGAAGACCCUCCGAACACUCGCAGGUCUGCCAUCAACACACUCUGCUGCCUUCGUGCUUCCGCGGGAGAGGUUUCAGCGGGAUCCUAGCCUCCUCAGUGUGGGGAAGGCUGCGCCCGCCCCUCCUCUCCAGCAGAAGAUGGCCACAGGGCCCUCCCAGUGCAGGGGCCCACGGGGGGCUUCGGACUGCGUGCUGACUGUGAGAACCUGCUGGGCCCAGGCGGGGAAGCAAUGUCACGUGGGGCAGGGUCCCACGUGCACACACGACAAGGCGCUGGCCCCUCACAGGUGUGCAGGAGGGGCGCCACCCUGUGAGGCCCACCGGCCACAGGCACUCCUCCCCAACCCUGAAGGGACGCAUGGCUUCAGAGCUCUGUCUCCUCAGCAGCGACUUCACCGGCAUCUCCUGGGAUGCGCAGAGGGACUGCUGUCCUCCUGGGCAGGGGAACCACACCAGGGCCGUGAGCAGAGCAGAGGCCCCAAGAGGCGGGAUGAUGGGCACCGGCCAGCACACCUCGGAGGGCCAGCUGUGGACUUGCCCUUGCCCUGGGACUUGGCUGCUGGUGUGGGACAGAGCCCAUCCUGCCAGACGUGUCCCCAUCUGAAGGGGACUUUCCUCCUCACCCCACGUCACCAUGCUGGGGAUCACACUCCCAGUGGGAAGUCUCUUUGUAAACUGUGAUGUGUCGACUCUGUCGUGAGCCCAGGGCUGCAGGACAGACUCCACAGACCAGGCGGCUCCACCAGCACAGGCUGCGGCCUCGCUCUGGAGGCCACGAGUCCCGGUGUCCCAGGGCGUGCCCGUCCCGAGCCCGGUCCUCCGCCAUCCUCCACAUGUGUCUGUGUCCUGACCUCUUCUUAAGAGAACUGCCGUGUUGGGUCGGGGACACCCGGCAACUUUCUUUCAGCUUAGUCUCCUCUGUGAAGACCCUGUGUCUUACUAAGAUUGUGCUCUGAGGUCCUGGGAGACUUCAAGGGGACUCGAAGCGGGUGAGUGACCCACAUCAGCAAUACCCAGGGUAGGUGGACUCAGGACGACCGCUGGACAUUUCCUCUUCUGCUGGCUAUUAUCAUGACAACCGUCCUGCCUGAGUCGGACCCCGGAUCUUGGCUCACUGAACAAGGCAAUGACUCCGCUCCCACACUCCUCAGACCUUCUCUGUGUCCUUCAGCCCUGACCCCACGGUGGGCAGCAGGGACCCUGGCCUGGCCUCCGAGAGCAUGGUUGUUUCCUGCAGUGGGUACAGACUUGGCCUGAGGCCCUGGCAGGGGUAGGAGCCUCCAGCCAAGGGACCGAGGCUGGACCCUGGAAGAAGGGCCAGUGCCCCUCUUCUCUCCAGCUCACUUGCUCUGACCACCACCUUGAGGCACCCACAGGAUGCUGACAAACACUGCCCUGGCCUAUUUGUGACCAGAGCAGAGCCAAGUGUGUGCACUUCCCUCCGUGUGCAACUAAAAGCAAAAACCACUUGUGGGCUCCUACCAACAAGCAGGUGCUGGUGUCCUGCAUGCCCUCCUGCCCAGACAGCCCUCUGAAAAGAGGAAAGCUCUAUUAAGGCCAGUCCUGGGUGGCCCCGCAAAGACUGCGAAGGUCGUCAGGCAGAGGUGGGCUUGUGAGGCCCCAGACCAGCUGUGCUGAGGGAAGAGGUGCUGGGACCAGUCCCCACGGCUCCUGGACUCCUCCACAGAAGCCGUUUGGCUGAACCCUAUUUUGAAAACUAUUCCUUGCACAACGACUCUGAAAACAAUCAACUCGAAUGAGCCAGCAUGUCAGCAGGGGACAGUGCAGGGCCUGGUCACCUUGGGGCAGUGGUGACCAGCCAUGGUUGGAGCCAUGUGGGCAAAAGGGCACCUGGGUGGACAAAGCCUGCAAGUCCAGCCUCAAUCAAAGAAGCCUGUGAGCCCGACCUCAACCAGGGCUGCAGGCAGAGGCUCCCUGGGCCUCAACUCCCUCUGACCUUCUGCCUGGUCCUUCCACCCAGAGCCAAGGACCUGCCCACCAGCCCCUCUUUACAGGGUGUGGGCAGAGUGGGAGGAUGCACACAUUUCCAGAAGGUUCUUCCCAGGCGUGGUGUGAGAUGUGAAACUGGGUGAGCUCCGACUCAGACCUAUCGGUGGACGCGAAGCCAGCAAGGCCUGCUGGGUGGCGAGGGGGGCAGGUCCUCCCCUCCCUGUGCUCUGCGCUGCUCUCGACUCUGGAAUGUGCCGGAGGUAAAGCCAGGCCCAGGGUGGUGUUCAGGGCCCUUUGAGAGGCCAGCCCCGCUCCAGCCUGGGCCAGGAGGCUCUUCCAGUCCUCCCUGCCUCCCGCCAGGCCUCCGGGAGGCCCACUGUGCAGCUGGUGUUUACUCACACCUACUUCUCUGCUCUCCCCCUCACAGCCCCCGACGAGCUCCUGCUGUCGUUUCUAUUUCAUAGAGGAGGAAAUGAAGGUUCAGAGAGGACCAAGAAUUCACUGUAGCUGAAGGAGGCAAAGCCAGGAUCUGCACCCACGUUCCCUCAUGGCAACCCAAAUGCGCCAACGGCUUCCGCAUGAGGCAUCUGUCUUUAAGGAACCAUCUGGCAGAGGGAUCCAGCAGAUGACUCGGAGCUGUUCACACUCAGAUCUGCUAGCAAUUAAAAACCUUGCCGUGCACCUCCCGACAAGCAGGCUCGAGACUUUCCUCCAGUAUGUCCCUCGGGCUAGGCCACCAGCUCCAGGCUCGGCUAGGACCCGACUACUCGUGUGAUUCCAGACACUUGUCCCCAUACCCUCUGCUCAGACUCAAGUCCCUCACCCUUGGGGAGGUCCCCAGCCCCCUCCAACCCUGGCCCAGUCCAGUUCUAGGCCCAUUGAGCCAGGUAUUGUGGAGGCUGAGACAGAGAGGCCAUCUUCAGGGAGGAGGCCAGGAAGACCAAGGAGACCCCUCAGUGUUUCACAGCCCUAAAGCAAGCAGGACACCACUUCUGGGGUGGUUCAGUAGGCACCAGGCGCCACCCUGAGCUUCCCCUUUGUUGAGACCUGAGACUCUCCAGAGGAGUCUACUCUGUACCACAGUAUCCCAGGGGGUUCAUAUGGCCCCAGCCCCCUGACUCCCCAUUCAAGAGCCUCCUCAUCCAAGAUGCACCGAGGGUUCCUUGGGGGAGUCGGGGAGCAGGUGGAUGGGCCCCAAAAGCCCCGUGGGGGACCAGACCAGAUGCCGGCAGUUGGGCUCAGGGGUGCCCGUUUGGAGAUGGGACUCUGUCGAGCCCUGAGAGGAUCGGGCAGUGCAGUGGGAGGCUCUGCAGUGUUGGCCAUGUCACCCUGGCCACCCUGGCCAUACCAAUUGCUGGUCACCUCCCCUCCAAUUGCUCAGUGCCUCCUGCCUCCCUGUAAUAACCAGUUUCUGGUUUCUGGAUCUGAUGCUCAGACAUGUGGGGCCCUGCUGCCCUGGAGGGACGCCUCUCCCAGGCUGAGCCAGUGUCUAGAAAUAGCAAGGGUCCACCUACAAUGUGUCUUUCAAAUGCAACACACCAAUCCACACCCUCCAGGCACUGUCCCUGCUACCCCCAGCCUGCCUGUGAGCUGACUCCUCCGGCCCUUCCUCCGCUUGCUGCCUCGCCUGUUCCUGUCUGCAAGAGACCGCAGGAGGCUCCUGCCCCCUCCCCUGGCGUCCAGCCUGCUGCCUGCCUGGGCUUCCCCAUGUGGCUUCCUGUGUCCUCUUGAGACCUGUGAAGAAAGGAGUGAUCACCUCUGGUCCGUUGGCCUUGCCACGCCCCCAGGAUGGCAAACUGUUUGCCAGCACAUGUGGGGGGCUGAGGCUGGCAGUCCUACCCAGGGCCCUCCCUUCCCACUGAGGUGAACACGGGUCCCCUGGCCCAGACAGACACCCGAGGCACGUGGGACUCUACAGGUCACUGGCUCCUUCAAUCACAGGGGAGCAGUGGCCACACCAGGCAGCCAAGGCCAACGCAGUCCCCAGGGCUCCUCGUGGGGGUGUCCAGGAGGGGCUCUGGGCCAUGGUGGGGCUGUUUCCUAAAUAUCCUUUGGGAUAUGUCCUGUGCCACCUAAGCACCCCUCAAAACCAGCAAGGGAGGGGGCCCAGGACUGGCCCUGAACCUGGGUGGGACUUGAGCAAUGGCCUGAGCCAGCCUGGCCUUGAGCCUCACUCAGCCCAGGACCAAGCAUGUGCUUCCCAGCCCCCCCUCAACCUCACGUCCACAGCGUGCCUCCACCUGUAUUCCAGCACAUUCCAGUGGACAGCUGCCGGAGUCACUCGGCCACGAGUCCCUCCCCGUUCCCUCUGCUCAGCCUGCCUGACCUAACGCUCCCUCACCUGUCAUCUGUCCUGCCCCCGCCACCCCAGCCGUGGUGACUCAGCUCCACCAACCCCACAGCUCCAUCCUCCCCCAGGAGCUUUGGAAUCCAGCCCUGCCUCCUCCAUUCCUCGUCAUCUAAGCUGCUCUCAGCUGUGGUUGCCCCCUGUCCACUGACCGCCUGGGCCUAAAGCCCUGGCCAGGAGCAAACUGCUCCCUCCAGUAGUCCCUGGUCCCAUGUCCACCACCAUGCCCUUUCCAGAAGGACUGGCUUGCUGGGUUCCCCACUCUGUCCGGCCAAGGCUCAGGCCCACCUCCCAGCAUAUGUGGGGACAGACAGCAGCAGCAAAGGAAGCAGGGGACUUGAGCCCCCAAACCCCUGAGGCUGCUCCUGGGGCAACGGGCAGCCCCACAGGCCCAGGUUGUGCAGAGCAGGAUGGGAGGGGCUUUCUCAGCAGAUGGAGUGAGGCUGGCGUUGGUGGGCUAGCCCCUCAGGGUUCUCUGAAGCACUGGAAGGCAAGGACGGUCCCUGCAGGGGAGCAGAGUCUCGGAAGGGAUGGUCAGCCGGGUGAGGAGGGUGCCUUCAGAGGACGGGGAGGCCUGUGGGCGGCAGAGCGGGGAGGGGAGGAGCGGCACUGGGCUCUGCCAGCCCCGGGGCCUCUCCAGCUCCCAUGCAUUUCGGUAGCACUCCCAGCCGGGACCACUGCGAUGCAAGGUCAGCUCUGAGUGAUGGGGACAAGGACCUGGGCCGCUGGACACUCUGGUGGGGCCUGAAGGCAGAAGCCACAGGCCAACACCUGACAGGUGCUCCCUCUGGGUGGCCCUAAAAGGUGGGAGCAUCGCUGUGCUCUCUGGGAAGGGCACCCCUUCAUCUGGCACCCCAACAGGGGCUGGAGCUGAGGGGCACUGGGCUGAUGCCUGUGGGAAGUCAGCUGGCUCAGCUUGGGCGUUGACUCAGGCCUGAGGGGACCAGCACUGUGCGCCCCGUGUUGUCGGGAUGGGAGCACAACCCCCCCUCAGGUGUGGCGGGCAGGGUGCAGCCACCUGCCCCCACCCUCCCCGCAGCCUGCCCACAGGAGCUGAGGGUCUCAGAGUCUUAGCUUCCAGUGUGUCUCUAUCUUGUGUGUAUGAGGCCCGGAAAAACACAGAGCGUAGUUUCUCCCGUUUCAGAACUUUAUACCAAUCAGAGCGCGUGGCAGGGUGCCCUGCAGUUAGCCCCUUCGGCGCGGUGUGGGAGAUGAGCACAGCACGGCACAGAGCGCGACGGUUUUCACACGCCUCCCGCCCACGCAGAGCCCUGGAGUCCAGCGCAGCCGCGAGGAAGUUCUCACGCGCAUCCUGGUCUCAGGUUGGCACUCGAGCCGGGGCUCCCCGCCUCCAUUCUCCAGCACGAGGGUGGAGGAACAGGUCCUGGGUGACAGCAGGUGGCCCUGUCGGCGAGCGUGCUGCAUUCUCGGCUGCUCCUCGUGGUCACUUCCAGGGCUCUUGGUUGUCGAAGUGCAGCCUGUAAAUGACACAACACACCUGUGUCCUCGGUCCUUCCCACGUGGGGUCAGGGGCAUGGGCAGUGAGGCCUCACGGUGAGGUGCUGCCCCAGAAUCUGUAAGGUUGGGGUGGGAAAGGCCAGGGAAAGCCUGGAGCUUCGGCUUCUCUGCCACGAGGAGGGAGGGCCUGCUUUUGCCUGGGUCCCAUUACAGACAGACGCUUCUGAAAACAGAAUAAAAAACAAGGCUGCAGAGAAGGCAAAGCCAGCCUUGAGGUUCCACUCUGAGGCAUUAACCCUCUCCAUCUGAGGCUGUCAGGGUCUGGACAUUCGAAGAGUUGGUCUUGCUGUGCCACAGUGGCGAGCCACCGUUGGUGGCCAGUCCUUGGCCACAAGUCUAGCUUUGCUGCCCAGGAUACUGCUGUGGACAUUGGCUGUCAUGGUCCUAUUUCACCUAUGAGGGAGAAAUAAGACCAGUGCCCAGCUCAGGUUUGGGAGUUUCCUUGGGUGUCCUGAGCAUUGGAAAGGGCAGGACGGCUGGGGAGGGCCUGAGCCCUGGACAGACAUUGGGCAGUGGCAUCCAGGGCUGGAUCCUGACUGUAGACUUGUGUUGUUCUGGCAUGUCAAUCUUGGGCACGCUGGGCAGUGGCCCCUAGAAACUCAGGUAGAGGCAGAACCUGAGUGUGUGGUCUCUUUGGGAAAGAGGUCUUUGCGGAUGUGGUUGGUAAAGAUGAGGUCUCACUAGGGUGGCCCUAGUCCAAGGGCUGUCCUUAUGAGGGAAAUUCAGAUGCAGAGUCCCAGACACGAAGGCGACCAUGUGUCAAUGGAGGCAUAAGGUGGAUGACGCAGCCACAAGCCAGGGAGCCCCUGGAGCCUCCAGAGCUGGGGAGACAGGGAAGAGCCUCCAUGGAGCUUCAGAGGGACAUGGCCCGCGGACACUGUGAUGGCAGACCUCCAGCCUCUGCCUACAUGAGAGGGGUCAUGAGAGGACACAUUUCUGUCACUUGAAGGCCCCCAGGGGGUGAUGUCUCAACAACCCUUAAGUGUCAGGAAAUUCCCCAGAUGUGGGUUCUGUGUCUCCCAUGGACGUCUGAAUCCCUCUUCCCACAAAGGCCACCUCUCAUGAGCUGGUUGUGAGUCACCAUCCUGGGGGAACCUGCCCUCUGUCCUCACAGGUCCUGCCUGUCCCAGUGCUGACCAAUAAGGCACUCACCCGCCUGCCCACAGGUGGGGUGGCAAGGAACAGAGGACUCCACUAAGGGGUUCCUCGUUGCUCCAGCACUGUAGUAACACUGCUCCCAGGCUAGCUGCCCAACGCCAGUGGAAAGCUCCGGAAACACCAACCUAACUCCUCUUAUGCCAAUGGAACUGACGCGUUGUCUGUUACUUUCCAACAAAAUGGUGUCUACACCCACAACCUGGCUAAAAUUAACAAGGCUGACAAUACCAAGUGGAGUCCCUGGUAUUUUCACACCCUGUGGGUGGUGGCGAGCUGAUCCCACCACCUUGGGGAACUGUCUGGAAUGAUCGGAACUGCUGGGCAUGCCCCCUGCCUCAGCACUCCCGCUGCCAAGUCCAGAGCCAACAGAAGCCAGGUGACACCUGGAAGAAGACAGGCAAGUCCAGUGUUGCCCAUGAUAGCCGAGCCAAGGCAGCCCGACGCCCAGUCGUGCACUCGGGGAGAGGUCAGAUCCGGACGGCACAGUGGAGGCCAAAGGUCACCCAGGGGAAUGAGCCUCUGAGAGGGCAAAACCUCCCCUUGGACCUGCAACUGACAGGCAGAGCUGCUCAGGAGGCCAGUCCACCCUGCGGGCCUCCCACAGGGGGUCAUGGGAGCAAAGCCGCCCAGGCACCGGGGCAGCCUCACGCCCAGCCUCCCCUCCCAGGUCUGUGGUCAGGGUGUGGCUGUGUGUGUCAAGGCCUCAAUGGCACCUGGCUCAGAGGACAGUGACCUCACGGCCCCAUCAGCCAAGGAGGUGGGCUCUGGGGGUGGGGCACAGAGAGCACCCUGAGGAGCCCAAGAACCCCUUCUUCCUGGGGCAGUAAAAAGAAUGGAGGUGACAGGG